GGCACUACCAGAAUUCCACCAACAAACAAACCAAACAGCCGCCGUUAGCGCGUUGCAGCAGAUCAGAAGCGGCCGUUGCACGCCACUCCUAACGCUUUUGAUAACGACGUUUGUUCCUACUUCCUACGUUCCCUUCUCUCUCUGCGUGUCUCUGUCUCUGUCUGCGGCUCCGUACGGGUUUCGGUACGUUCCAUUUUUUCGAUCUCACACAGAAAGCGAUACCCACUUUGCCUUUUUCCUCUCUCACUCUCCUCAUCUGCAUCGUUGUUAUUUAUCGUUGAACCGACGUCGUUUUGAUUCGGGAGAAGAAGUAUUAGCUCAAGAAGAUGAGAGGGGUAGAUGUUUUGAGCCUGAAACCUCUGAGGAUGAGUGGCGGAAGUCUCGAGCUAGAUCUCUUAGGAGAAAAGCAAUGACUGCUUCAACCAGACUCGCUUAUAGUCUCAGGAAGCGUAAUACACGUGUAGCAAAUAGUGACUUUGCUUCAAUUUUCAUAGAAGAUGUCCGCGAUGCUAACGAGGAAAAAGCUGUGAAUUCAUUUCGUCAGGUGCUACUUACAAGAGAUCUGCUUCCAGAUUCCCAUGAUGAUUAUCAUGAAAUGCUGAGGUUUCUGAAAGCCAGAAAGUUCGACAUUGAUAAAACAGUCCAGAUGUGGGCAGAUAUGUUGCAUUGGAGGAAGGAGUAUGGAGUAGAUUCUAUUUUACAGGAAUUUGUAUAUAAGGAGUAUGAAGAGGUACAGUGUUAUUAUCCUCAUGGCUACCAUGGUGUGGACAAAGAGGGCCAACCGGUUUAUAUUGAAAGACUUGGCAAAGUUGAACCCAGCAAGUUGAUGAGUGUCACGACAGUUGAUCGAUUUUUAAAAUAUCAUGUUCAGGGAUUUGAGAAAAUGUUUAAAGAGAAAUUCCCAGCAUGUUCUAUUGCAGCAAAGAGGCAUAUAGAUAAAACAACAACAAUACUUGAUGUGCAUGGAGUGAAUUGGGUCAGCUUUAGCAAAGUUGCACAUGAUCUUGUUAUGCGUAUGCAAAAAAUUGAUGGUGAUAACUACCCUGAGACAUUAAACCAAAUGUUCAUUGUUAAUGCUGGUAGUGGGUUCAAGCUACUAUGGAAUACUGCAAAAGGUUUUCUUGAUCCAAUGACCACAGCCAAAAUACAUGUUUUAGGCAACAAGUUUCAGAGCAGACUGUUACAGAUUAUAGACUCAAGCCAACUUCCAGAUUUCCUCGGCGGCAGUUGUUCGUGCCCAAAUGAUGGAGGGUGUCUUAGAUCUGAUAAGGGACCUUGGAAUGAUCCUGACAUUUUGAAACUAUUGCAUUCUAGAGAAGCAAUGAAGCUAACAAAGUUUGGAAGUUCUUCUGUUGCUGAUGGGGUUGAUGUGAAGUCAUAUGCCAGCAAGGUUAAAAGCACUGGAAUAUCUGAACCUCUAUCAGCGUCAGAAGUAAGAUUGAAUCCUUCAGCCUUCGUACAAUCUGUUCCUUCAAGUGAAAAAAAAAGGAUGAGAGACUCUGCACCUACCGGCAAUGUACUUGAGCCUUUAAAUGCUGCCAGAGAAGUUGUUGGGGAUGUUGAUUCAAUAAGUGAUUCAAACAACAAUCAUCUCAGAAGACUACAGGAGAAGCCAAUUCCAUAUAUCAUAAGUAUUUUGGCUCAAAUCGCAGUCAAAUUGUUAACUUGUAUUUAUGUAGUAUUUGCGGCAUUGGGGAAAUGUUUUGUGGUUCGCUCUGUAGACAACCAACCAAGAAGCCAUGAGAAAACCAAAUCGGCUCAAUCCAAUUCCGAGGAACAAUUAAUGACUCCGGCGAUAAAAGAGCCACUUUGGCAAAGAAUUCAGAAUUUAGAGGCAGUGGUAACUGAGAUGGCUAAUAAACCUAAUACAAUUCCUCCUGAAAAAGAGGAUAUUCUUCAAGAGUCAUUGAGUCGCAUAAAAUGUAUAGAAUAUGACUUGCAAAAAACAAAGAAGGCCCUGCUAGCCACUGCUUCAAAGCAAGUUGAGCUUGCCGAGUCAUUGGAAAGCUUAAAGGAGAGUAAAUUUGACGGAAGAAAUUCAUGUUGGCCUAAAAAUAGAAGUUAUGCCCCAGGAAGAUGAGCCCGUUUUUCAGCAUCAGUUUGCAGUCCAUUGUUUUUUAUACUUUACAGCUGAAUCACUACCAGAGCUAAACUUCUAUUGGCUUAUAUAAAAGAAUUACUCUCAUUAUCAUAUAGGCUUGAGGAAUGUGGGCUAUGGGGAGUGCAUAGCCCCAAUGUAUAGAAGGCAACAAGAAUUUUUUAUGAAGAUUCUGGACUCCAAAUACUCCUUUUAAAUGUAUAACUGAGUGUGUUAACCACAUUUAUUUUCUUAUUGGCUUUUCUGUACAGAGGACAUAUACACAAAGUAUGCUACUCAAAUUCAGAUGUAUUUUAAUACCAGAUGCAUAUAUGCACAAAAGAAAUAUUUUCUGUAAUACAUUGUAACAAAUAGCGAGCGCUUAACUGUAAAUCUUGGAUUUUACUAGAGGAUGUGCUUUCCCCGGAAA